AGAACCAGCAAUACUCAACUGUACACCACACCAAAAAUAUGUUAUAUCUUUAAUUGCACAAAUAUUCCACUAAGUUAAAUGUGGCCUAAAGCACUGAAAUUUGCCAUUCAACAGCUCAUCAAAGGCUUUGAAAAACUUUUUAAAGAAGAAUAAUUUCUAACUGAAGAUUUCUACAGAUAAAUGUAGAGGGUCACAUUCUUAGCUGGUAUAAAAAUGAGGUAUACAGAAGAGUUUAAAUGUGAACCACAGCCAGGUUUUCAACAGUAUGAGCUAAGGCAUAGGAGAUUGUAAAUUGGUGACACCCUGGAGGAGAGUUAAACACGUGGACAGAACUUCUGUGUGGAACGUUUUGUUUCCAGCUAUGUACAUGAAAGGCAUUUCUGAGAAGAAAGUUGCUGCAGUCACAGCCUAGCAAAGCAAACUUACUAAUUAACUGCAGGCUGCACCACUUGCACUUAGCUACGUGCCCAGGCUGACAACACCGCCUUCAGUGCCGCUUUGCAAACAAAUUUAAAUAUUCAGCGCACAGCUUCUGGGAAAAAGGCCAUCUUUCUUCAUGCUGUAGCUUUGGGAUGUAACAUUUAUUAGUGACUUAUGCUUAUUUCCACUGGCUUUGUGAUGCCAGGAGAGUUAGCAGCAGGCUGAAUCCUCUAGGUGUAUACACCCAGUAGGAAUGGGGAAGGGAAGGAACUACCAUGAGGGAUGGAACAGAGGGAGGAAUGUGGAGAUGCCUGUGCAAUGUUGGUUGGCGGUAUGGCUGUCUGGAAAAACAAAAUCUCCUUUGUGGCAAACGCAGAGGUUUAAAAUCUGUUUACACUGUGUAUCAGAAUGUAAAUAAUUUCUAUUUAAAAAGUACACCAAAAGUAAAAGCAAAGAAUAUCUCUGCCAAGUGUCUGAUAACCAGCCUCAAUAUCUUUUGAUCUUCUCUGUGUCUUCUACCAGUUUCCAGGCUCACAACUUUUAUUCUCUGAUGAGUGACCCCCCUCGUUGUCCUUUUUUCCUGCCUUCCUGGAAAAAUUAUGCCUUUUCUUUUUUGUUGGUACCUCAGUCUGAGGAAUAGCUGCACUUAAUUUGAGAGGGAAAUGUUGAGAGCUUUUGUUGGAAUGUUUACUGUGAACUCUUUGAGAUGACUGGUGUUAAUUUCACGCAGCAUCAAGGGUUCAUGAACAAAAAUACACUUCUCCAGGCAAAUACUGUAUUUCUUCCCCUCUUAAAACACUGUUUGUAAAACGUUCCCUGCAACUUCAACUUGAUAGGAAGCAUCAAACUCUUACAUGUGAUAGAGAAAAAAAAAAGGAAGAAUAAAUCCAAGUUAGAAUAUGCACUUCUAGAGAAAUCUGACGUUAUUACUGGAUAAAUUGUGUUCAUCCCCACUUGAGAUUGCCAUAGUUUAAAUCUCUGGACAGUGAAGAGAAAUAAUUUACAGACUCACAGCCUGAUUACUAGUUAAGAAAAAGUUUGCAGAGAUUUUGUCCAGGCUGACCUGAACUAAUCAAUUUUCAGUUCUGACUUCAUAAUAUGACCUGUGGUUUCUCUAAUGCAUGUGCCCUCUCCUGCAAGUGUGCUCCAGCUGGUUUAUACUCACCAUGACUGAAUUCAAGCUUUCUAAUAAAAUUUGCGAGGGAGUGUGCUGUGGUGUUACAAUGUACUUGAAGUAAUAAAUGAAGUGAUCCUGACAGAGUAGAAGCUGCAAGAUGAUAGGUUGUGUGUCUAUAAAUGUUAGGUAUCAUUAUAUGCUCUCCUAGCCCAUGGAGACCAUUUCUGCUCUUUAGUGUCUAGUAGAAUUUGACUCUUAAUUUUCCCUGCAGAAGGGACUAAGCUGGAAACAACUCCUGCCUCUAACACCUCUUGAAAGGAUUUGAUGCAUGAGUUAAUUUAUUCCAUAUCAUAAUUAAUCAUUUUGUCUCUCACUGUAAAAAUGUACAAUGUCAUUUACAUUGCACGUGUUCAUUUUACCAUCAGUAUAGUAAGCGACAUUUCCUGUAAUUAAAUAGAGAUAUUACAUUAAACAGUUAAGAUGUGUGUUAUAACAGAAGUGAGAAGUGAAACAGAACCAAUUUUCUAUCCACACUUGAAUCUACACAACAAAGCAAAGAAAUGUACAUAAUUGACAAUGCUGACAAUGUGGGAGGUUUAGGUGGUCACCUUGAAUCAGCUUGAGGAAACCCGCAUGAUUUUGAGAAUAGGAUUGUCAGUAAAGGUCAUUGUUGUCAGACCACACUGCUGUUUAUGCUAUACAGGCACAUAUGGCACAGGUUCAUGAUGCUGCUUCUGCUCUGUCAUGGUCAUUACAGACUUCAUCAAGAGCACCAUCCUUCUACAUUCUCUUUAGAAUGAUGGUAAUCGAGAUGAAAGAUAGCAAAAAAGGGCAGGAACCCCUUUAUGAAGAUCCUUGAUGUGAAAGUACGAUAAAAAUUUUCAUCUUAAGAAAAGAAUAUUAAAAUCAAUAAAAUGCAUGAAAGAACAGAAUCGUAUUUGAUGAUAGGCUGAAUUUGAUGCUGAAAAAUGCUGGAAUGAAAGGAUCUAAUCAUCAAGUAGGGUUAGUCCAGUUAAUUAAAAAAACCCCAAACAAAACAACCAAUGAACCAGACAAAAAAAAAUUCCAAUGGGUCUGCUAUCUUGUUUUACCUUUUUUAAUGCACACUGAAGAAGUCUCUCAAGGGACAGUCCAUUGUACUUGUAAUAUACCACACAAAGCUACCAUUGAAUGGCCAAUCUAUCCAUCUUAAAGAAUAUUAGACACAUACAUAGAAGAACGGAAAUGACCAUGUUAGCUUAGAUAUACAGAAGAAAAGACUCUGGCUCUAUCCAAGCAUUAAUGCUGGGUUUGAGACUGGUUGUCACCAGAUCACUGAGAUGAGGGCAGGAGACCCUUCCAUCAAACAUUUGGCUGUAACUUGUCUCUUCUGUCAGGUAUCAGCUGAUUGUGUCCAGCAGCACUUUUGUCAUUGAGCCCUGGAGCACAAGAUUUGAUGGCCAUUUCAGUGAGUUUAAUUGAAUUGCUUGUAUGACUCCACUGUUAGCUAUAGGAUUAUUCAGUCUCACUAGGAAUCUUCAUUUGCCUUACUUCCUCUGAGAAUGAACCCUAUUACCUAAUAAAACACUGUAGAACAAAACAUAUUUCCUUAUAACAGUUUCUGACCUGAACUUUCUUUUUUUUUUGUUAUACUAUUUAUCACAGAAAAGGGAUAUUCCCCUUCUUCAAUUUCAAUAGUACUUUUGAUAUGUUUGCUCAAUUCCUCUCCUUUCUAAAUCAAAUCAUUUCAUCUUUUGAAACUCUCUUCCUUAAAGUCCUUUUUGUUCACUACCAUUAUCUUUCUCUGAUCACACUAAUAUAUGAUGUGCAAAUUCAAGACUUCAUACUGCAAGGUCCUUAACACUGCUUGUCACUCACCAGAUACUUAAUUUAAAGCAUACAAAUAUUCCCUCUGCUCUCAGUGUGAUUUUUUGUGUAGUUUAAUAAAUGUUGAAGACAUUACUGCUGGAUGUUGCCAAAUACAUGUUUGUGCCUACAACCAAAAAACCACAUGCAGUUUUAUUAAUCACCCUGGAAGGACAAUCUAUGUAGCUAUUGAUUUCAGCAACAUAUUCAUAUGCUUAAAAAUAGGCCCACAGUUAAGCUUUUGCUUCUUCAGAUUAAUGCCAAUCUGCAUGUGUUUGCUCCCAGAAGACCACAUGCUAACUACUGUCUGAACACAUUAUGACAACAAUCUGCAUGGAAACAAAAAGAGAUGCUGGGGGAAAAAAAUGAAAUGAAAAAAUGUAAAGAGAAAACUGAAUUAUGAAACCAAAUUAUGGCUAAGCACAAUGACAAUAAAUACUUUUAGCCACAGGCAAUAAAAUAUUGCAUCAUUAAUAAAGCUAAGUGGAGAAAAAUUUUGCUUGUCACUUUCAUUUAUAACCUAAAUUUUAUACUUUAGCCUUACAUGUUAGCUCAGCACAUUACACAUCUCUCAGGCAAUUCCCCUCUGGCCCCAGAAAUCAUGAGUUACUGUGGUUUCAAAAAGUGGUGAACUGGGUAAAUGGGAACUGAUUUUAAAGGAUGAAAUAAUGGCCUAAUUCAAGACUGUAGCAGUUUUAAAGGAAAGACACUUGAGACAGGGAAAUGGGGAAGAACUGAUGAUAUGGAGGUUAAAACUCCAGGUUCUCG